CAAGAAUUUUAUAUACUUUAUUAAAAGAUCAAAAAAUAAACAACAAUAUAGAAGUAACAUACUAAAAUGAGUAGCAUUAUGCACGGUUCUAAAGCACAUACAAGCACUACAGCGAUAUAAUCUGGCUAAAAAAAAAAAUGAAAAAAUGAAAAAAACUGAAAAGUACAUCCUGUGUAACAGUUGAGGGAAUGAUCUUUAUUACAUUCUAGAGCUGAGAAACAGGUCUGAGCUGUCUGAAUCCAAGGCUGCGUGUCAGUAGUAAGACAGAAGUAGACAGUUCUGCUAUACAGUGAAUAUCAUAGCAUGUACGGUACACAUUAUUACACCAUAUUAUAACAUCCGGCCCAACCAAAUAGAAGAGAUCAGGCUGGGUACUUUGUGUUCUUUCAUCGGCACCCACAGCCAAUGCUUCUUUUUAUGUAAGGCCAGGCUUUGAAGGGGAUCCAAGAAUUUCAUAUAUGUUUCUAAAAGGACUGGAUAUAUCUACCUCGGUUACAUAUGCUCAUCCAUUAAUGCUGACUACCACAUGCAUGACACAGGUGUUGGCCAAAACAUCUUCCAACGCAACCAUCUACCAUAAGAACAAUGCUGAUCCUUGUACUUUCACACAAUUACAUUUAAUAGAGAAUUUCUAAAUCACUUCAUAAAAAAAAAAUCCUGCACCCACCUAAAAAAAAAAAAAAAAAAAAAGAAAUCUGUAGUCAUGGCCACUAGAGGUCUCACUUCCACCUAAUUUGAACUCCAUUUCCUGUUGUCAGGCAAGUACUGCCCCUGGUGGAAGUGGGGGCAUAUCAGAGCUAGCCUUGAUCCUGACCCUGAUAAAAAGUUUGCUUCUACACUGCUUCCGGACAUCACAGGAGCCUCCCCGUACGUCUUUAAGUGUGAUCUAUCUCUUCUUAUCUAUUCUGUGAGCCCUUGAGCUGAAAACAAACAUAGUGGGAAGUAAGCGAAAGGACAUCACGGCAGUACAGUGCUGACAGAAGGAAUACGUCCCCUGCUUCUGAGUGAUAUGCAUCAAGCUGUGCAGCAUUGCAGGGAAUAAUAUGGCUGAAAAAAACCAUUAGGGAAGCCUAAACAUAACUGUUACUUCACAGUUAUGAUUGAACAAAUAAGCAUUAUACAAACUUUUCUUUUUUUUCAACUCAGAUACGCUUCAAGGUGGCCCUACAAGUUGGCUAAACCCACAGAUCAUUCACCAAUGUCGUGUGUAUGGGAGUAUGCCAACUGUCCCCUAAUGGCAGAUGUUGGAGAAAAGAGGGAUCAAGCAUAUUUGGAAUUUGUGACCAUUCUGCUAUAAUCUGUGGGUUUAUCCAACUUUUAGGGCCAUCUUAAGGACCAGCAAUCAUAGGGAGAAUUCCAAGAUGAAGCAUCUUGGGUAUGCAAAAUGAUAGAUAUAUAAAACUGUGGGACCCCCUUCAGUUCUAGAAUCUCUGAGCAAAAUGCUCUUAUCCUCUAUGAAUUCUGAUGUGAGACAAUCAUACUCAUGGCCAGACCUUAUCAUGUCUAUGAUGUAAUAGGGUGUACCCAUCAUGCUAUUCUGUAAGAAGCCACCACUGCUCCAAAGGAGAACAGUCACCAUUAGUUUGUAUGCAAACACUGUACUUUGUAGCAUCUCUGGCAGUUUCGGAAGUAGAGUAUUAGGCUACUUACAAUAUGGUUUCAAUGGUUGCUCAUUUUACAGAUGAAACUAUAUAAUUUAGUAGGUUCUUAUCAAAACAUGUUGACUUGUGUGUUGAAUCAUUGCAGAACACUCCCUGUAACAAUAGGUUUAGUCAUCCCCUCAUCUGCGAAAUUACCAGGAGUCAUAGCAACAAAUGGCUCCGACCUCUACAUUGGAGCUGUUUCCCAUGUACAGUAGAACUUGUGUGUCAGGUUAUUUCAUUCUGUUGUGUGUGACAAAAUAUUAGGUCAAAGAAAAAUAAAAAAAUAAAAUCAAUUGAAGCUGAAUUUUCACGUACAUGUGGUUUCCGCAACUUCCGAAGCAGAGUAAGACAUUAUUUCAAGACAUGGAGAGGAGCACAGUGAAGACCGCUAGGAAAGGACAAAGGGGCUGCUUUUCAAUGCAUACAAUACUAAUAGUGCAAAACGAUUGUCAUGUGGGUAGGGUCGUGGUGGUGGUGGGAGGUCGGGGUCAAUGCAUUUUGCCAAAACUGCAAUAUAUCUAUCAGGGAAAACUCUUGCCUGGAUGGAAAUCUAUUUCUUGGUAUUAAGUGCCAGACUAUCUCCAAAUGUAUAGUCAAAAUAUUUGAAAAAGAUUUUUUAUUUUUUUUUUAGUUUUGCAUAGAUUUUGAAGUUGCACAUAACGAAUACUGCCAGCCGUGUCUGGGUGGUUCGAGAGUUGUCUAACUGAACUGGUAGGCCAGUUGGUGGACCAGUUGCCUAUAUGCAGCGAGGGUCUGUCAUUUUGUAGUGUGAAGUAAUAUUGAUGUUGUGAAUAUUGGCUCAAACCACAAAUUUCAACUUUAGAAAUGUAUUAAAAUAAAAACAUCUUGCUGCUGAGUCUUACAAAGCCAUGCUCUGCUUUUGGGCCACCUCUGAGAAAUUCUCUAAUAUAUGCCUAUUAACUGACUUGUGUAAUAAUGAUAUAUUAGGUAAUUACUUAGUGUAAAUCUGCUGUGUGAUUGGCUGGUCAGUCUACACCGGUCUUCAGGGCCAUUGCAAUUGUCCAGCUAGGGGGCGAUGCUGGCAGCCUGAACAAAAGUCAAAUACUAAAGAAACAAUUUAUAUGGAAAAAAAAAUUGUCCGAUAGAUUUACAGUUUACAGGCAAAUGCUAUUUUCCUUGAUAGGACAGCAGCAUUGAUUAAAGGGCUGGUAACGGUCUUCACGUGUCCACUCUGCCAUCUUCUAAAUCAAGGCAUACGUGAAACAAGUACCUUAUUGUGGAGAAGAGCUGUAAGUGCUUUCACAUAAUACAUGACUUUGCCAAAGGGGCGCUAUGUUACACUGUGGGUGCUAUCAGACGUGAUUAGAUUUCAUUCUUCCUGGGAUGUCUGCCAGUCAUUUAUACCUCUCAUCACACAUGGUAUUUUCAUUGAUCGAUCUGUUGGCCAUCCUUAAACAUCUUAGGCUAGUUUUACACUAGCUCUAUGUAGCCUGCUGGAUCUCUGCAUUCCGGCAUUUCCGGAAGCUGUAACGUCGUUGUCCAGCCCCAUUAACUACAAUGGAGACUGGUGGAGAUCUGGCUGCGACCCAAAAUAAACGUCCGGAAGAAAACAAGUAUUAGUGCUCCAUUUUGGAUGUCUGAGCUUCAAAUCUUCUUUGCAGACAUAGGGUUAAAUCAUAAAAUUCUGUCUGCUCGCAGGCUUCACUAGGGGGUGCUGAGGAGCUCAGUACAUACACUGAAGUAAUAAUAAAUCAGUAUGCAGUAAGUUCUUAAGCUCCUCCUAGUGGUGACUACAGGUAGUUAGUAUUUUACAAUUUACCGCUUUGUCUAUGUCUAUAAAGAGGAUUUGGUUCUGAAUACGAAAAAAGGAGCCCUAAUUACUUUAAAAUUACUUUAAUAAAUAAAUUAGCAACAUAUUUUGACCAAAUAAAGAUAUGGUGUUUUAAGGUAGACAUUCACUUUAAGCAUGUCUGGAAGGUGCAGUGAACAUAUUGGAAAGCAGGGUUCACAUUUUUUGGUAUUGUUCUAUGAACUUUAUAAUAUUAAGGCUGAGUUCACACUUCCUUUUUUAGUGUGUGUUUGCCAUACAAACAUGAGAUUCAGAUGCAAGGCUAAAGUCCUGGGCCCCAGUGCCAAUGUCUAAUGGGGCCCUAGCUUACCACAUACAAUUUAUAAUAAUAAUGUCUUCUUAAAAAUGUGAACAGGAAUUAUACCUUAUAGAGCAGUAUUAUAGAUUAAUAAUCACAAAAAAUUCCAGAAAGCUGCAAAUUCAGCGCCCUGAGGCACAUGUCACUACUUUGACGACCCUACCCUGGGCUCUUCUCCGGAAUGAGGAUACUUAUUUCACAGCAUGCUCUAUGCUGCAAAUUGGAGUUUACCAGUGCUGAAUAAUAAGCUAUGGCAUAACAGCAAAGCAACAUCAUGCUUUUUGGAUUUUUUUUUAUUUUUAUAGCAAAAUGCCGUCUCUUCAAAGCCUUAUUUAUACCUAUCUCUUUUACAAACUUUUCCUGUGUUUUUAUGGACUUUUUAUAUUCAAAAUAUGUUCCAAGUUAUUUUUUUUUUACAUUUUAUUUUUUUCAUUCUUGGACUAUGUACAUAAGUGCAAAAAAGGUGUGUCUCACACAUUCGUACACUAACUGAAUCAGUUUAACUGCAGCAUAUUUGUAUCUUCAACACUGUUGAAGCAGCAUAUCAUGCUUAGGGAGGAGACAGAAUAAACAUAAGAAAGACCUUCACUUCCCAUAGCCUAUGAGCACAGACAUACUGAAUGCAUUACACAGGUUAUAAGCACUCCGACUACCAUAACACCUCUUCAAACCAAGUAUAGACAGCCAAGGAUCCUUGACCCAUCUUUAGAACCAGAGUAACUGGAACUGAAGAUGCGCCUGCUUCUACUUCUGUCUGUCUUGGCUACAUCGUCAAGAUGCUAAGCUAUAGGCAUUAUCGGAAGUGUAGUUCAAGAACAGUAAGAGAGUCAGAGCUUGGUAAGAGGGUCAGAGGUUGGUAAGAGGGGAAG